rnacentral:rRNA from 1 species
GACGAACGCUGGCGGCGUGCUUAACACAUGCAAGUCGAACGGAAAGGCCCUGCUUUUGUGGGGUGCUCGAGUGGCGAACGGGUGAGUAACACGUGAGUAACCUGCCCUUGACUUUGGGAUAACUUCAGGAAACUGGGGCUAAUACCGGAUAGGAGCUCCUGCUGCAUGGUGGGGGUUGGAAAGUUUCGGCGGUUGGGGAUGGACUCGCGGCUUAUCAGCUUAUUGGUGGGGUAGUGGCUUACCAAGGCUUUGACGGGUAGCCGGCCUGAGAGGGUGACCGGCCACAUUGGGACUGAGAUACGGCACAGACUCCUACGGGAGGCAGCAGUGGGGAAUAUUGCACAAUGGGCGGAAGCCUGAUGCAGCAACGCCGCGUGCGGGAUGACGGCCUUCGGGUUGUAAACCGCUUUCGCCUGUGACGAAGCGUGAGUGACGGUAAUGGGUAAAGAAGCACCGGCUAACUACGUGCCAGCAGCCGCAGUAA